rnacentral:rRNA from 1 species
AUUGAACGCUGGCGGCAUGCCUUACACAUGCAAGUCGAACGGUAACGGGCCUUCGGGUGCCGUCGCGUGGCGGACGGGUGUGUAUUACAACGUAACGUGCCCGAUCGUGGGGGUUAACGAGGCGAAAGCUUUGAUCACACCCCAUACGAUCUACGGAUGAGAGCAGGGGAACGCAAGGCCCUGUGCGGACGGCGCGGACGAUGGUAGAUUGGGUAGUUGGUGGGGUAACAGCUUACCAAGCCGACGAUUCGUAGCUGGGCUGAGAGAAUGAUCAGCCACACGGGAACUGAGACACGGCCCAGACUCCUACGGGAGGCAGCAGUGGGGAAUUUUGGACAAUGGGGGAAAGCCGGAUCAAGCCAGGCCGCGUGGAGGAUGAAGGCCUUCGGGUUGUAAACUGCUUUGGUACGGAACGAAAAGCCUUCGUUUAAAACAGGAGGUUCAUGACGGUACCGAAGGAAUAAGCACCGGCUAACUACGUG